AAGUUGGCGCUUCCCCGGUGGGUGGUGAGCAC
rnacentral:scRNA from 1 species